AGCCUAACUCUAGCCCAACCGCACUAAACCAAAAAUAACUAAAAACACACUUCACUGCCAAACUAAAACAUUCUCUCAACUUAGUAUAGGCGAUAGAACAGACUUCCCCACCCUGGCGCGAUAGAUUGUCCGUACCGUAAGGGAAAGAUGAAAUAAUAAUGAAACCCCAAGCAACAUACAGCAAAGAUAAACCCUUGUACCUCUUGCAUCAUGAUCCAGCAAGAACAACCAAGCAAAGCGAGCUUAAGUUUGCCACCCCGAAACCCAAGCGAGCUACUUACGAGCAGCUAACCUUGAGCGAACCCGUCUCUGUUGCAAAAGAGUGGGAUGACUUGUCAGUAGAGGUGAAAAGCCAAUCGGGCUGGGUGAUAGCUGGUUGCCUGUGAAAUGAAUUUAAGUUCCCUCUUAAUUUUCCUCCCCGGAUGUUCAACCCAACCCCCAUGUAGUAGAUCAAGAGUCAUUUAAAGGGGGUACAGCCCCUUUAAAAAAGAACACAAUCUCACCUAGCGGAUAACUUUCCAGACCCUAACUUAACUGUGGGCCCUCAAGCAGCCACCAACAAAGAGUGCGUCAAAGCUCUGCACUUAAAGAUCUAAGAACGAUAUGAUUCCCUUACCACUAACAGGCCAACCUAUGGCAAUAGAAGAGUCAAUGCUGAAAUGAGUAACUAGGGUAAGCCCUCUAGAGCGCAAACUUACAUCUGCACAUUAUUAACAGACUUAAUUAAUAUCACAACUUCUACAAGACAAAAUAUUAUUUUCCCUGUUAACCCGACUCAGGAGCGCCCAUUAGAAAGAUUAAAACCUGUAAAAGGAACUAGGCAAACCCCCAAGGCCCGACUGUUUACCAAAAACAUAGCCUUCAGCUAACCAAGUAUUGAAGGUGAUGCCUGCCCAGUGACAUUACGUUUAACGGCCGCGGUAUCCUAACCGUGCGAAGGUAGCGCAAUCAAUUGUCUCAUAAAUCGAGACUUGUAUGAACGGCUAAACGAGGUCUUAACUGUCUCUUACAGGUAAUCAGUGAAAUUGAUCUUCCCGUGCAAAAGCAGGAAUAAAACCAUAAGACGAGAAGACCCUGUGGAACUUAAAAAUCAGCGGCCACUACAAACCUUAACUAAACCUAUCAGGCACACCAACUCACAAACAUUGGCCCGCAUUUUUCGGUUGGGGCGACCUUGGAGAAAAACAAACCCUCCAAAAAUAAGACUACACAUCUUAACAAAGAGCAACCCCUCAACGUACUAAUAGUGACCAGACCCAGUAUAACUGACCAAUGGACCAAGCUACCCCAGGGAUAACAGCGCAAUCUCCUCCAAGAGCCCAUAUCGACAAGGUAGGUUUACGACCUCGAUGUUGGAUACGGACAUCCUAGUGGUGCAGCCGCUACUAAGGGUUCGUUUGUUCAACGAUUAACAGUCCUACGUGAUCUGAGUUCAGACCGGAGCAAUCCAGGUCGGUUUCUAUCUAUGAUAGACUUUCCCUAGUACGAAAGGACUGGGAAAGUGGGGCCAAUACCACAAGCACGCCCCCCUCCCAAGCAAUGAGCCCAAAUAAAUUGCCAAAGGAGCACACAUAGCCUAUUCGUCCUAGAAAAGGGCA
rnacentral:rRNA from 1 species